GGCCCUUCGGGGUACACGAGUGGCGAACGGGUGAGUAACACGUGGGUGAUCUGCCCUGCACUUCGGGAUAAGCCCGGGAAACUGGGUCUAAUACCGGAUUGUACUGCGCGGUGCAUGCCGUGUGGUGGAAAGAUUUAUCGGUGCAGGAUGGGCCCGCGGCCUAUCAGCUUGUUGGUGGGGUAAUGGCCUACCAAGGCGACGACGGGUAGCCGGCCUGAGAGGGCGACCGGCCACACUGGGACUGAGACACGGCCCAGACUCCUACGGGAGGCAGCAGUGGGGAAUAUUGCACAAUGGGCGCAAGCCUGAUGCAGCGACCCCGCGUGAGGGAUGACGGCCUUCGGGUUGUAAACCUCUUUCAGCAGGGACAAAGCGCAUGUGACGGUACCUGCAGAAGAAGCACCGGCCAACUACGUGCCAGC
rnacentral:rRNA from 1 species